AAGACCUUGCGCUUUUGGAGCGGCCGAUGCCUGAUUAGCUAGUUGGUGGGGUAAUGGCUUACCAAGGCUUCGAUCAGUAGCUGGUCUGAGAGGACGGCCAGCCACACUGGGACUGAGACACGGCCCAGACUCCUACGGGAGGCAGCAGUGGGGAAUUUUGGACAAUGGGGGCAACCCUGAUCCAGCCAUGCCGCGUGAGUGAAGAAGGCCUUCGGGUUGUAAAGCUCUUUCAGCCGGGAAGAAAAGGUUGCGAUUAAUAAUCGCAAUUCAUGACGGUACCGYAAGAAGAAGCACCGGCUAACUACGUGCCAGCAGCCGCGGUAAUACGUAGGGUGCGAGCGUUAAUCGGAAUUACUGGGCGUAAAGGGUGCGCAGGCGGUUUUGUAAGUCAGAUGUGAAAUCCCCGGGCURAACCUGGGAACU
rnacentral:rRNA from 1 species